AGAGUUUGAUCCUGGCUCAGGACGAACGCUGGCGGCGUGCUUAACACAUGCAAGUCGAACGGAAAGGCCCUUCGGGGUACUCGAGUGGCGAACGGGUGAGUAACACGUGGGUGAUCUGCCCUGCACUUUGGGAUAAGCCUGGGAAACUGGGUCUAAUACCGAAUAUGACCAUGCGCCUCCUGGUGUGUGGUGGAAAGCUUUUGCGGUGUGGGAUGGGCCCGCGGCCUAUCAGCUUGUUGGUGGGGUAAUGGCCUACCAAGGCGACGACGGGUAGCCGGCCUGAGAGGGUGACCGGCCACACUGGGACUGAGAUACGGCCCAGACUCCUACGGGAGGCAGCAGUGGGGAAUAUUGCACAAUGGGCGCAAGCCUGAUGCAGCGACGCCGCGUGAGGGAUGACGGCCUUCGGGUUGUAAACCUCUUUCAGCACAGACGAAGCGCAAGUGACGGUAUGUGCAGAAGAAGGACCGGCCAACUACGUGCCAGCAGCCGCGGUAAUACGUAGGGUCCGAGCGUUGUCCGGUAUUACUGGGCGUAAAGAGCUCGUAGGUGGUUUGUCGCGUUGUUCGUGAAAACUCACAGCUUAACUGUGGGCGUGCGGGCGAUACGGGCAGACUUGAGUACUGCAGGGGAGACUGGAAUUCCUGGUGUAGCGGUGGAAUGCGCAGAUAUCAGGAGGAACACCGGUGGCGAAGGCGGGUCUCUGGGCAGUAACUGACGCUGAGGAGCGAAAGCGUGGGGAGCGAACAGGAUUAGAUACCCUGGUAGUCCAA
rnacentral:rRNA from 1 species